AUUGAACGCUGGCGGCAGGCCUAACACAUGCAAGUCGAGCGAGCGGCGGACGGGUGAGUAAUGUCUGGGAAACUGCCUGAUGGAGGGGGAUAACUACUGGAAACGGUCGCUAAUACCGCAUACCAUCAGAUGUGCCCAGCUGGGAUUAGCUAGUAGGUGGGGUAACGGCUCACCUCGGCGACGAUCCCUAGCUGGUCUGAGAGGAUGACCAGCCACGCUGGAACUGAGACACGGUACAGACUCCUCCGGGAGGCAGCCGUGGGGAAUAUUGCACAAUGGGCGCAAGCCUGAUGCAGCCAUGCCGCGUGGGGGAAGAGGGCCUGCGGGUUGUAAAGCACGUUCAGCGGGGAGGCGUUACCCGCAGAAGAAGCACCGGCUAACUCCGUGCCAGCAGCCGCGGUAAUAC
rnacentral:rRNA from 1 species